UGAGGAAUAUUGGUCAAUGGACGAGAGUCUGAACCAGCCAAGUAGCGUGCAGGAUGACGGCCCUAUGGGUUGUAAACUGCUUUUGUUUGGGAAUAAUCGACAUUACGUGUAAUGUUUUGCAUGUACCAUUCGAAUAAGGACCGGCUAAUUCCGUGCCAGCAGCCGCGGUAAUACGGAAGGUCCAGGCGUUAUCCGGAUUUAUUGGGUUUAAAGGGAGUGUAGGCGGUUGGUUAAGCGUGUUGUGAAAUGUAGAUGCUCAACAUCUGACUUGCAGCGCGAACUGGCUGACUUGAGUACACACAACGCAGGCGGAAUUCAUGGUGUAGCGGUGAAAUGCUUAGAUAUCAUGAAGAACUCCGAUUGCGAAGGCAGCUUACGGGAGUGUUACUGACGCUUAAGCUCGAAGGUGCGGGUAUCGAACAGG
rnacentral:rRNA from 1 species